AGGGGCACUGGCUUGUCAGGGGUUAAAGAUUAGAAAUUCACCGCCAAAGGCGGUGAACCUCAAGUGCUCUGGCCUUCCCUCCGUCCAGAAAACCAGAGUCAUCCGCCCCACACUCAAAAAUUAGAAUAUAUGGACUUACAUGAUCAAAAAUUAGGCUCUCAUCGUCCUGGAUAACUUGUAUUUUCAAUUUUUUUCCUCUUCCUUUUUCUUUUCAGGAACAUUUCCUCUAUUUCCUCAGGUAAGUAGCCUUGUCUUUUCUUUGCAGGAUGACUUCAGGCUCCUCCUGGAAUCACUUGUUGCCCAGAAUAAUGCGCGAUAUUUCGGACUUUCUGGUCCUUCUUCAGGUGCUGAACUGAGCAAUCUUUGUUUGUAUAUCCCUUGUACAUGAGCGCUUGGAUGGAAUAAAAAUCCUUUGUCCAUAAAUCCUGGUCUGAUUGCCUUCUGUGUUAUUGUGCCUCCGUAUGACAGGGCUGCAAGGUGAGUGAGUGAGUUGAGAGAAGCAGGUCCUGUUAAAUAGAGCAGGUGGGCGGAGUUAGCCUUUGUUUUGCUCCUGAAUGGCUGUGGAUCCAUGCUUUUCCGAAAUUGUCCGUAGCUUUAUGGCUCUUUGAAUUAUAGUCUCACUUAUUGUUUUUAGGAGUGGGAGCACACCCCCCCUCACCAAGAUGAGGUCCAAACAGGAACAUUUCCUCUAUUUCCUCAGGUAAGUAGCCUUGUCUUUUCUUUGCAGGAUGACCUUCAGGCUCCUCCUGGAAUCACUUGUUGCCCAGAAUAAUGCGCGAUAUUUCGGACUUUCUGGUCCUUCUUCAGGUGCUGAACUGAGCAAUCUUUGUUUGUAUAUCCCUUGUACAUGAGCGCUUGGAUGGAAUAAAAAUCCUUUGUCCAUAAAUCCUGGUCUGAUUGCCUUCUGUGUUAUUGUGCCUCCGUAUGACAGGGCUGCAAGGUGAGUGAGUGAGUUGAGAGAAGCAGGUCCUGUUAAAUAGAGCAGGUGGGCGGAGUUAGCCUUUGUUUUGCUCCUGAAUGGCUGUGGAUCCAUGCUUUUCCGAAAUUGUCCGUAGCUUUAUGGCUCUUUGAAUUAUAGUCUCACUUAUUGUUUUUAGGAGUGGGAGCA